rnacentral:rRNA from 1 species
GUAGGUGGCAAGCGUUGUCCGGGAAUUAUUGGGGCGUAAAGCGCGCGCAGGCGGUUCUUUAAGUCUGAUCUGAAAGCCCACGGGCUCAACCGUGGAGGGUCAUUGGAAACUGGAGAACUUGAGUACAGAAGAGGAAAGCGGAAUUCCACGUGUAGCGGUGAAAUGCGUAGAGAUGUGGAGGAACACCAGUGGCGAAGGCGGCUUUCUGGUCUGUAACUGACGCUGAGGCGCGAAAGCGUGGGGAGCAAACAGGAUUAGAUACCCUGGUAGUCCACGCCGUAAACGAUGAGUGCUAAGUGUUAGGGGGUUUCCGCCCCUUAGUGCUGCAGCUAACGCAUUAAGCACUCCGCCUGGGGAGUACGGCCGCAAAGGCUG